rnacentral:rRNA from 1 species
CGCUGGCGGCGUGCUUAACACAUGCAAGUCGAACGGUAAGGCCCUUCGGGGUACACGAGUGGCGAACGGGUGAGUAACACGUGGGUGAUCUGCCCUGCACUUCGGGAUAAGCUUGGGAAACUGGGUCUAAUACCGGAUAGGACCACGGUCUGCAUGGAUUGUGGUGGAAAGCUUUUGCGGUGUGGGAUGGGCCCGCGGCCUAUCAGCUUGUUGUGGGGUGAUGGCCUACCAAGGCGACGACGGGUAGCCGGCCUGAGAGGGUGUCCGGCCACACUGGGACUGAGAUACGGCCCAGACUCCUACGGGAGGCAGCAGUGGGGAAUAUUGCACAAUGGGCGCAAGCCUGAUGCAGCGACGCCGCGUGGGGAUGACGGCCUUCGGGUUGUAAACCUCUUUCAGUAGGGACGAAGCGUAAGUGACGGUACCUAUAGAAGAAGCACCGGCCAACUACGUG